rnacentral:rRNA from 1 species
ACUCAAAGGAAUUGACGGGGACCCGCACAAGCAGUGGAGCGCCUGGUUUAAUUCGAUGAUCAACGAAGAACCUCACCUAGGCUUGAACUGUAGCUGCAAACUCCAAGAAACUGGAGAAUCUUUCGAAGGUGCUACAGAGGUGAUGCAUGGCUGUCGUCAGCUCGUGUCGUGAGAUGUAGGGUUAAGUCCCACAACGAGCGCAACCCCUUUUCGAUGUUAUAAUUACUUCGAAUACUGCCCCGCCUCAACGGGGAGGAAGGAGGGGAUGACGUCCAGUCAUCAUGUCCCUUAUGUCUAGGGCUACACAGACGCUACAAUGGUCGUUACAAUGGGCUGCCAAACCGCGAGGUGGAGCAAAUCCCAUCAAAAGCGACCUCAGUUCAGAUUGCAGGCUGCAACUCGCCUGCAUGAAGUCGGAAUUGCUAGUAAUCGUGUAUCAGCAUGUCACGGUGAAUACGUUCUCGGGUCUUGCACACACCGCCCGU